rnacentral:rRNA from 1 species
AGUGAACGCUGGCGGUAGGCCUAACACAUGCAAGUCGAACGGCAGCACAGUAAGAGCUUGCUCUUACGGGUGGCGAGUGGCGGACGGGUGAGGAAUACAUCGGAAUCUACUUUUUCGUGGGGGAUAACGUAGGGAAACUUACGCUAAUACCGCAUACGACCUACGGGUGAAAGCAGGGGAUCUUCGGACCUUGCGCGAUUGAAUGAGCCGAUGUCGGAUUAGCUAGUUGGAGGGGUAAAGGCCCACCAAGGCGACGAUCCGUAGCUGGUCUGAGAGGAUGAUCAGCCACACUGGAACUGAGACACGGUCCAGACUCCUAAGGGAGGCAGCAGUGGGGAAUAUUGGACAAUGGGCGCAAGCCUGAUCCAGCCAUACCGCGUGGGUGAAGAAGGCCUUCGGGUUGUAAAGCCCUUUUGUUGGGAAAGAAAAGCAGCAGGUUAAUACCCCGCUGUUCUGACGGUACCCAAAGAAUAAGCACCGGCUAACUUCGUG